rnacentral:lncRNA from 1 species
AAGCAUGGACAAUAUUUGAUAGCAUACAAAUAAGAAAGGCUCACCUCUGUUGUAGACCAGCUAAUCGCUAUAGAACUAACAAGUAAAUGAGUCUGGACCUCGAACAAGGCCGGCAUAAGUUAAAAUUGAGAAAUAGCUAGCUAUCAAAACAAGCACUUCAAGAAAGCUGGUGAGAAUGGCCUAAUCAGCUGCUUACCAUGACCCAAAUUCUUCUAAGAUGCACUGAAUAUUAACUAGACAAACACCCUCGGAUUCUCUGUUAAUAAUCUACUUGACACUCUGAUCUUAUAUAGCUAAUGAUAUUGCCAUAUCAAAGAUGCAGAAGAAAAGGAAAGACUGGCCAAUGAUCGAGUUACUAAGCAACUAAGCAGGCCCUUAAAGGAUUUGUAAUAACUUCAUCUUCAAUGGACAAGCAACCUCUUGUAGCACCAGAAUCCUCAAUACAAACGUUACCAUGUCCAAAAGGAUAAAUGCUCAUUUCAAAAUAUCACUCAAGUGCAAAUUUAUAUGACAAUUGGAGAAGAAAGUAAUGCAAGCAAUUGAGAGGUUGUUCCCAAUUUUAUCAGUGGAACACUUGAUUGAUAAACGAACUAAAACUAAGGUAACAUUAGUUAAGAAAGAAAUACUGACAUACCUAUCAUAGAACCGAAGGCUAAGGCCUGUAAGAAAUUUACAGUUAUCAGGAGCCCUCUAAUUCAAAUUUAAAAUUCAUCAACUUCAAACCAAAAAAAUAUGCAAGAUGAUCAUAAAGCAGGGAAAAGGGAAACUCUUCAGUGAAUCAUAUCGAACUUGUCGAAACAAAAUAGUAGAUGCAUUCAGAGUCAUGCAAGUAGGAUGCCUGAACAGUGCAAAUAGGGAGGCUGACUCAAUUCAUCAAGGUUCAGAAUGAUUACUUAGAUUCGAGUCCCUAACAAAUACUAUUAAUUAGCCUAUACUCGAUGAAAGUCCCAAAAUUUUGGUGCAAAAGUAAGCUCAUACUUUUAACCAGCAGAACGUGCAAAUAUGGUCGAGGGAUCAGGGAAAACGAAACCAUUCAAUGAUUCAUGUCGAACAUAUCAAAACUAAGACAGAAGAUACAAGCAGAUUGACUUAAAUAUUGAAGAACAUCAUAUGCAAGAGAAGAAGCAGAGAAGAUCAUCUUAUGAAGCGAUCAUCCCUUAACAACACGACCAAAAUUCUGUCCAAUAACACUUCAAAACAAAGAAAAAACCAACUAUUCAAGUAAAGAGGGUGAUUCUAAUUCAAAGCUUCUGGAAAAAAAUAAGAAGGAUUUCUCAGGAAUAAAUCACUCAAAGUCCAGGAAGAAAACAUCCUGAGAAUAAUUGUCAUAGUUUCAGGCUUGCUUAGCAAUCAAAAAAGUGGAGCACAUCGUUCAUUUGAAAGCGACGAAACCUUAACUCAAAAUGAAACUCGGCAUCACAAUAACAGUUAAACCAUAGAAAACCACCACUCAAAAUCAACUUCUACUAACUGAAAAUAUUCAAAUACAUCACACCACUAAGAAGCAGUUCAACUGCAAAAAGAAUCACGCACAAAACCAAACAUCAUUCUGGACAAAAUCUCACUGCUCAAAAUACUUUAUAACAGAGAUGCGUUGAGAAAGAAGUCGAACCUGAAAUUUCAAAAUCCUUUUAAUAACUAUGUUCUCGACAAUACACCUUUUGAUUCCGAAUCCUAUCAUGGUUCAGUAGUGACCCAGCAGAACAACAUUAGAAACAUAGCUCGAAUAUCAAUUUGUAUCUUCCAGGAACUCAAAUCCGGAUACAAAAAUAAGACGAAAAAUUGUAUCUAUAUUUUUCUUAUACUUUGAUGACCUCGUCAAAGAAAGUCAACUCGGAAAAUCCAUUUGUUCACAGAAAACCUUUCGGCCUUUUUCUCUGAAUUUUUUUAGCCGAGCCCUUUCAAAAUUGGAUAGAGCUUCUUUUGAAAAUGAAUUCCUGAUGAAUGUGGGGCUUGGAUUGAGUGAAAUCAAUCCAACGCCUCACACUCAUCCAGCAAAUCCUUUCCAGAAACCUCCAAUCAAAGAUACGGCUCAAUUCGAGCGAGUAGGAAGAAUCUUCCAUCAGAGACCGUUAGAAAUGGUAAGAAGAGAGAUAGAGGAACGUGUGGGUUAGGGGUUGAUGCUCACUCACCAUAUAUUUGGAUGGAAUUUUGGGGCUUGGGUUCGGGUAAGAACGAUGAUGAACAAUGCUUGAGGUCUAGGGCUCUGGGAGAUCGUUUGGUUGUAUUUGUUCUUGUAUUUU